AUUGAACGCUGGCGGCAGGCCUAACACAUGCAAGUCGAGCGGCAGCACGGUGAUAGCUUCCGGUUUCGGGUGCCGAGGGGCGGGUGAUUCCUAGGUACAUCGCAGUUUAUUGGUGAUUACGUGCGGACACGGGGGAACAUACGGUAUUAGCGCUGACGGCGAACGGGGGGGAGCAUGGGAUCUUCGGCCCUUGCGUGAUCCAAGGUGGCUAGGUCGGAUUAGCUAGUUGGCGGGGUAAAGGCCCACCAAGGCGACGAUCCGUAGCUGGCCUGAGAGGAUGAUCAGCCACACUGGAACUGAGACACGGUCCAGACUCCUACGGGAGGCAGCAGUGGGGAAUAUUGGACAAUGGGCGAAAGCCUGAUCCAGCCAUGCCGCGUGUGUGAAGAAGGUCUUCGGAUUGUAAAGCACUUUUGUUGGGGAAGAAGAGCAGUAAGUUAAUACCUUGCUGUUUUGACGGUACCAACAGAAUAAGCACCGGCUAACUUCGUG
rnacentral:rRNA from 1 species